rnacentral:lncRNA from 10 species
GGGGAACAUCACACACCAGGGCUUGUUAUGGGGUGGAGCGGGGGAGGGAUAGCAUUAGGAGAUAUACCUAAUGUUAAAUGACCAGUUAAUGGGUGUAGCACACCAGCAUGGCACAUGUAUACAUAUGUAACAAACCCGCACGUUCUGCACAUGUACCCUAAAACUUAAAGUAUAAUAAAAAAAAAAGAAAUUAACUAAGAGUAUUUAUAAGUGGAAGAGCAUGAUAAAUAAUUUUUAAAAUGUCUAUUUUAGACAGUUCAGGCUACUAUAACAGAAUACACUGGGUGGCUUAAACAACAAACUUUUUUUCUCACAGUUCUGGAGGCUGGGAAGUCUAAGAUCAAGUCACUGGCAUCAAGGGGCUCUCUUCCUGGUUUGCAGAUGGCCACCUUCUCAUCAUAUCCUCACAUGGCAGAAGUAGGUGGGAGCCAAGCUCUUGCAUCUCUGCUUAGAAAGGCACUGAUCCCACUCAUGAGGGUUUCACCCUCAUGACCUAAUUACCUCCCAAAGCCCUGCCUCCUAAUAUUAUCACACUGGUGAUUAGGUUUGGUUUUUUUGUUUUGUUUUGUUUUGUUUUGUUUUUGUUUUUUGAGACAGAGUCUCACUCUGUUGCCCAGGCUGGAAUGCAAUGGUGCAAUCUCAGCUCACUGAAACCUCCACCUCCCGGGUUCAAGAGAUUCUCCUGCCUCAGCCUCCUGAGUAGCUGGGACUACAGGCGCGUGACACCACACCUGGCUAAUUUUUGUAUUUUUUAGUAGAGACAGGGUUUCCCCAUGUUGGUCAUGCUAGUCUUGAACUCCUGAACUCUUGAUCCACCCGCCUCAGCCUCCCAAAGUGCUGGGAUUACAGGCAUGAGCCACCGCACCUGGCCAUGUUUUGGUUUUUUAAGAUGGAGUCUUGCUCUGUUGCCCAGGCUGGAGUGCAGUGGUGCGAUCUUGGCUCACUGCAACCUCCACCUCCCAAGUUCAAACGAUUCUCCCUCCUCAGCCUCCCGGGUAGCUGGGACUACAGGCAUGUGCCACCAUGCCCAGCUAAUUUUUUGUAUUUUUAGUAGAGAUGGGGUUUCACCAUGUUAGCCAGGAUGGUCUUGAUCUCCUGACCUCAUGAUCCACCCACUUUGGCCUCCCAAAGUGCUGGGAUUACAGGCGUGAGCCACCACGCCCAGCCAGUGAUUAGGUUUUAAGAUAUAAAUUUGGGGAGGAUACAAACACUCAGUCCAUAAAAAUGUCUAAUGAUAUCUUGUAACUCAUGUCAUAUUAUUUAGUUGUCUUGAUAAAUUUUUAUUCAAUACCCAUAAUUUCUACAAAGCUAGUGUAUUUCCAGUUCCAUAGAUGAAGAUAAACUUCCAUCUCCAAUCUCCAUCUUCUUUUAAGCUUUUAUUUCAGUUGUACCUGGGAGUAAUAGAAAUGGCUCUUAACUCAUUCUUCCCUGAAAAUAAUGGACAAACAGUAGUUUUGCCACUAUGUCAAUGACAUAUAUUCUCUGUGUGUAUGUGUGUGUGCAUGUGUAUGUGUGUGUAGCUAGAACUUAAAAAGCAGUUAGUAUCAGCCAUCCUAGGGGCUUCACCUUGAUGUUGCCUCAGGGGUAAGUACUGUUGCUCCAUUUAGUAGUUGGGGAAACUGAAGCUCAGAUGAUUUUGACUUGCUCAAGGUCACAUAGCUAGGAAGAGGUCACACUGAGGCACAGACCAGGUCUGAUUCCAAAGUCAUGCUCUUAACCACUGGAUAUACUGCUGCCUCAUUUCCCACAGCAGUGGUCAGCAGCCUCUUAAGAAGAAAGAGACUAAGGAGGAUCAAAGAUAAAGGAUAGCAUAACAAAUAGAAGAGGUUGACAGACAGCAUUUUUAAGAUUGGGGGAGUGUAGAAAAACAUUUCCCACAUGUAAAACUAUAAAACGACUUUCUGCAUAUUAAGCCUUGUACAAAUAGUUUUGUGACAGCAGUGACUGAUGGAAAACACAUUAACAUGGAGAACAAGCAGCAAGUUAAUCUGAAUUUUAAAGAGGCUUUUUUUCUGACAGAUCAGAAUCAUCUUAUAAAUUUUUAAGAAAUGUGAAUAGUGUCUGACAUGAAUGAUUAAAGGGGAACUAUUUAGUAUUGCAAAAUGAAUUAAAUCUCUAAAAUGUCUCCGCGCAAUUAUGGGUAGAGGCAAAACUGUUAAAACUGGAGUGAUAAAUUGGGAAAUUGUCACUUCCAAAAAGAAAAGGAAAAAUCUGAAAGUUAUCCUUCUGCAAACAAAAUGCUCUUAAUGGGGAUGGGCCCAGAAGGCAGGGGUCUAAGCCUUAAGGGUAGGCAUUGAUAGGAUGUGCAGCCCGAGCCUCCUAACAGGCACUGUGGUCCGGCAGAGGGAAGGCAACAGCAUCGUGACUGGUACCAUGGCUUCCUCUUUCUCUUUCUCCUCCCCUGACUCCAGCUGUGCUCUUCCUUCUAGACAUGCAAUUUCUGUUGAGCACAUUCACCGCUUCUCACAGGUGUGAUGGCUCCAUCAUCAUACAUUUAAUAGUUUUCCAAAAUCAAUACCUCUUCAACAUAGUGCUUUUGAAGUCAUAGUUCUCCACUGAAAAGUACUCAUGAUGGUCCGUACUUGAUAAUAACUUCACCCACCAGGGAACAUAUUAUAAAGUGGGCUUGAGAGCAUGGUUAUAACACACGGUGUCCAUUUUCUUCAUCUGCAGCUAAUUCUAUGGUGGAAAUACUGCUGACACCAAGAACUUCAUCGUGUGAAAGUGGGGUAAGUAACAGGAAUUUCCACAGUCUCAAAGUUGCUGAGGAGCAGAAUCAUAGCCCCUCAAAGAUGUCUCCAUUCAAAUCCCCAGAACCUGUGAACAGGACAAGAGAGACUUUGCAGGUGUGAGUAAAUUAAUGAUCUGGAGAUGGGGAAGUUGUUCAGGUGGGUCUGAUGUAAUCACAGGGGUCCUUGUGAGUGAAAGACAGUAGCAACAGAAUCAGAGAAGGAGAUGAGAUGAUGAAAACAGGAGUCAGAGUCUGAGAAAGAUUUGAAGAUGCAACACUGCUGGCUUUGAGGAUGGAGGAAGGGGCCAAGGAAUAGAAGCUGGAGGAAACAAGGAAACAGAUUCUCUUCUAGAGCCUCCAGAAGGAACGCAGCCCUGCUGACACCUUGCUUGUAGCCCAGUGGGACUCCUUUCAGACUUAUGACCUUCAGAACUGUAAGAUUAUUAAAAUUGUGUUGUUUUAAGUCACUAAGUUUGUGGUAAUUUGUUGCAAAAACAAUAGGAGACUAACACCAUUACAAAAGAAAAAAAGUAAGUUUACAGUGGAGAAAUCUUGACAGAUACUAUCUUAGUGAAAGUAACCAAAAUUAACACCAUCAGAAACAGUCCAAUAAGGGUGUACUACCAGAUAAGAUAGUACAAUCUUAUUGUAUGCAAUGAAAAGACACAGCAUCUGUUAUAUUUUAACCAAAAAAUGCGUAAUGAAAAGACACAGCAUCUGUUAUAUUUUAACCAAAAAAUGCCUAAACUGAGGCAUAAGACAACAUCAGACAAGCCCAAAUUGAGAGACAUUUUACAAAAUGCCUGGCAUGUAACUUUUUAAAAUGUCAAAGUUAUGAAGGUCAAGGAUAGGGUGGCAAUUUACAGAUUGAAAGAUACUAAAAACAAACAAAAAAAAUGACAACUGGAGCAAUGUAUGACCCUGGACUGAUUCUUUGCUACAAAGGAGCUGCUGAGGCAACUGAAAAAAUUUAAAUUGAUACUGGGAGACGGAUCAAGGGGAAUUCUUUGUACUAUUCUUAUAAUUUUUCUGUGUAGAACUGUUUCCAAAAAAAAAUUUUAAGUGGAUGAUUGUCAUGGUAAUACGAGUCUUGCGCAAGCCUAAUGGAUAAAGGAUGUCAGAGGAUUGGUGGGAGAUGGGCAGGGAGUAUGAAACGUGAGGCUGGACAAGAUAGCACAUUUGUAGGAUGGAGAUAAUGGCCUGAGAGUGUUUCUGAUUUGACCGGUGAGGCCCUUGUUCCUGAAUGGAAAUUAGGCUGGAGCCAGCUUUGCCUGAGUCCCUGCGCAGUCAGAGCCUCAUUUAGAAACUUGGAAAACAUCAACGUGAUGAUUAUUUUAACUUAAUAUGGCCAGCAGAUGGCAGCAGGCAACUCAGGGAAAGAACAAGAGCGAGAGACCUGGAGAUGGGAGGCCCUUGGUUGCUGCUUCAGCUCAGCCAGGAGAGAGCAAAGGCCGGCUGGCUCAUUGAGUUGUUGGCCAUCUUUGAAUUAAAGGGUUCCUGCCAGGCAACAGAACCUCUGACGGCCCAACCUCACCCCCUGGACAUCAUGGCGGAAAGAGGAGGACUGAGAGAAAUGUCUUCAUUGUGUUUUAAAGAAAGAAACGCUUACUUUUUCCUAGUAAUAUAAAAAAGAAAAAGAUAAGACAUCAUUUAAUGGAACCUGAAUUAGAUGCGUCGAGAGACCCAAACAUUAAGAACAGAAAGAGCUGGAUUCACGAGUCAUGGGGCCCAAAAUGGCAUCAAGUAUUUCUGAGGC